UACGUAGGGUGCAAGCGUUGUCCGGAAUUAUUGGGCGUAAAGGGCUCGUAGGCGGUUUGUCGCGUCGGGAGUGAAAACCCAGGGCUUAACCCUGGGCUGGCUUUCGAUACGGGCAGACUAGAGGUAUGCAGGGGAGAACGGAAUUCCUGGUGUAGGCGGUGAAAUGCGCAGAUAUCAGGAGGAACACCGGUGGCGAAGGCGGAUCUCUGGGCCUUACCUGACGCUCAGGCACGAAAGCUAGGGGAGCGAACAGG
rnacentral:rRNA from 1 species